rnacentral:rRNA from 1 species
GAUCCUGGCUCAGGAUGAACGCUAGCUACAGGCUUAACACAUGCAAGUCGAGGGGGCAGCAUGAACUUAGCUUGCUAAGUUUGAUGGCGACCGGCGCACGGGUGAGUAACACGUAUCCAACCUGCCGAUGACUCGGGGAUAGCCUUUCGAAAGAAAAGAUUAAUACCCGAUGGCAUAGUUCUUCCGCAUGGUAGAACUAUUAAAGAAUUUCGGUCAUCGAUGGGGAUGCGUUCCAUUAGGUUG